UCUGCCGUGAUUGUGAGACCUCCCCAGCCACGUGGAACUAUGAAUAUGGUCAUUCAUUAGCCAUUAAGCUGUAGAUCUGUGCUGUCCAAUACCGUAGCCAUUGGCCACGUCUUUGAGGAAUUGCCACACUGUUUUCCACAAUGUUUG